UCAGAUUUCUGGAUUAGUGUU
rnacentral:piRNA from 1 species